UGCUGGGAUUACAGGCAUGAGCCACCACGCCCAGCAUCUCUGCUUCUAAUACUCAGCUUUUCUCCUCUGUUAAUGAUCAUCACUUCCCAAGAAGAGAUCAGUGGAAAUUUCCUGCAGCCACUGUGUUUAUUUAUGAGCAGUGCAUGCAUGUGAUUGGGCACACACUGGCCCACUUUUUCUCUCUUUCUUUUCUCUUUCCUCUCUUUCUUCUUUUACUCAUACCCAUCCCAUCUCUUCAUCCAAGCAGAGGCCUCACAACAACCCAUGAGAUCAGUGAUGACUGCCCCCAUUCGCCAGCUUUGCAGGGAGAGAUCAAAACCAAGGCGAUCUUCAGGCCCAAGGCAGGUAGGGAGGAGGCUUGCCGAGCCCACCCCUGUGAAGAGGUGAGGACCAGACCCUUUUGGAAGCCUCCUCAGGCAAGGUGUCUAUGUGUGCUGUCUCACUUCAUCCUUGAGCAGCUCUGGGAGGAAGAUACAGUUAUCCUUGCUUUACAGAGAAGGAAACGGAGGCUUGAGGUGGGGCUCAGAAAUGGGGCUGGAGUACCUCAUCAUUAUCUCAACUGCCCUUGCCUGCUGGCCUGGAGGAUGAGGCUGGGACCGAAUUCUGGGCUUGGCCUGUCUCCACUUAGCCUGGCUGGCCGCCCUGCCUGUUGGCAGCUUGGAGCUUGGGUGCCGAGUUGGGCAUCUGGUGGGCUGGCUGGAGGUGGAAGACCCUGGGAAAGAUGAGGUGAGCAAGGAGCUUGGUUCUUAAUUUGGAAAGAGUUUGGAGAGAGGGUGGCAGACACCUCAGGGGAGGGUAAGAUCGGAGGACAGUUCCAAGGAGGGGCUUUGAGCCAGACUCUCCUCCAUUGGUAAGCAGAGGGCUGAGUGGGCUUUGGAAGGAGGGGGCACUAUGACUAAAGUAGGGAAUACGUGCAACACCCCACAAGGGGGAAACACACUUUUCAGCAUUCUGAGAGUUAAAAGGGAUCACUCAGCUCUGGUAACCAUUGUGAACCUUGGAUUAUGUCUGAGAUGUGAAACAAUUCAGUCUUUCUUUGAUGGCUGGGAUGGGGUGAGGGAGUUUCUUCCAGGGCUGUGGUGAAGCCAUUGCUGACCCCAGUGAGGACAAGGGCAGCUGCUGAUAUGAUUGGCGGGACCUCCAAAGGCUUUAAAAUCUCAGCUGUCUCUCACAGGGCUACACCCAGGGCUUUAAAUUAUUUGGAGCACAGAUACUGUGCAGGAGCCUCCUGGGGGAGGCCCAGCCUCUUAAUGUGGUUCAGCAGCAUGGCUUCACUCAAAACAGGGGAUGUGUUAGCCAAUAAGGGAGCAGAGACAAGCUUCCCUGAUUCAAUUCCACCCAGGGGCAGACCACAGUGGAGAGAGAUGGGGUGCAGGGGGUAGGGGUGAGCUUUGAUAGCAUGAAGGAGUAGAAAGAACCCAAGUUACAAGACCCUCUUCUAGGGCCAACACCAUGUUCACUGACUGUUACACUCUGGGCAAAGCGUUUCUCUCUGGGUCUUAAUUUCCCUGUCUGUAAAAUCAGACCGUUUGGACCAGAUGGUUUCUAAUGGGCCCUUUGAGCUCUAAGAAGUGAAGUUGAUGGGGUUUCAUCCAGGGCUGGAAGAUCACUGGGUCUGGAGGAGCCAGAUGGGCAAUGGGGUCAUGGCGUCCCUGCACCACCUCCAUGUACGCAGCAUUUGUGGUUUACAAGAAGCUCUCACUGUAUUUUCUCACUUAGGCCUCGCAACCACCCAUGAGAUCUGGGAUGACUGCCCCCAUUUGCCAGAUGAGAAGCUGAGGCUUGGAGAUACUGAGGAACGUGUCAAGCAUACCUUCGUGGAGUGGCGAGAACAGCAGGAAAGUGGAUUAAAGGAACCGGGCUGGAUGUCCUCCACCAGCUCUCAGCAGCUGUGUGACCUAAGGUAGAUCCCUUGACAUCUCUGAGUUUCUGCACAGAGAUGAUGGAUUCAUAGACUCACUAGGGACCUGCAAUGAAAAUAAAUGGACUUUGUAAACACUAAGGCUUUAGUGUUAAGAGCACGUGCUCUUAAGUGCACAGAAAGGUUGGGUUUGAAUUCCAGCCUGUUGUGUGACCUUGGACAAAUGACUUCACCGCUGUGUCAGGUGCUUUUGCUAUGCAGCAAACACCUCACAGCUCAGUAGCUUAAUGCAACAAACAUUCACGUAGCUUAUGAUUUGGGAAUCAGCAAUUUCCACUGGGAUCAGUUGAGCUGUCCUGGUCUGGGCAAGGCUUGAGUGAUCUUGGCUGGCCUCACUCAUGUGUCUGCCAUUAGCUGGUGGAUCCCUGGAACUGGCUGAUUAAUUUGGCUUCCUCUGGGAUGAUGAACUACGGGGCUCUCUCCAUGAGCCUGGGCUUGUUCACAGAGUGGUAAAAGGACUUCAGAGGCAGUGAGAGAGAAGCCCCAGUGUGCGAGCACUUCUCCAGCUUCUGCAGGCAUUAUGCGUGCUCCUUUCUUUUUAUUUUUUAAGACAGGAUCUCUGUCUGUCACCCCGGUUGGACGGUAGUGGUAUGAUCAUGGUUCACUGCAGCCUUGACUUCCCAGGCUCCAGUGACUCUUCCACCUCAGCCUCCUGGGUAGCUGGGACCACAGG